rnacentral:rRNA from 2 species
UGGGGAAUAUUGCACAAUGGACGAAAGUCUGAUGCAGCAACGCCGCGUGGAGGAUGACACAUUUCGGUGCGUAAACUCCUUUUAUAUGAGAAGAUAAUGACGGUAUUAUAUGAAUAAGCACCGGCUAACUCCGUGCCAGCAGCCGCGGUAAUACGGGGGGUGCAAGCGUUACUCGGAAUCACUGGGCGUAAAGAGCAUGUAGGCGGAUUGAUAAGUUUGAAGUGAAAUCCUAUAGCUUAACUAUAGAACUGCUUUGAAAACUGUUAAUCUAGAAUGUGGGAGAGGUAGAUGGAAUUUCUGGUGUAGGGGUAAAAUCCGUAGAGAUCAGAAGGAAUACCGAUUGCGAAGGCGAUCUACUGGAACAUUAUUGACGCUGAGAUGCGAAAGCGUGGGGAGCAAACAGG